GUUAGCGUGGCAUACUGGUUUGCAUGUUGGAUUACGACUCCGGAGACCAGGGUUCGAUUCCCAGUUCAGCCG